rnacentral:rRNA from 1 species
GUGAGGAAUAUUACGCAAUGGAGGCAACUCUGACGCAGCCAUGCCGCGUGCAGGAAGAAGGCGCUACGCGUUGUAAACUGCUUUUAACCGGGAAGAAACCCCAGGACGUGUCCUGGGUUGACGGUACCGGAGGAAUAAGCACCGGCUAACUUCGUGCCAGCAGCCGCGGUAAUACGAAGGGUGCAAGCGUUAUCCGGAUUCAUUGGGUUUAAAGGGUGCGUAGGCGGAGCGUUAAGUCAGUGGUGAAAUCCUGCAGCUUAACUGUAGACUUGCCAUUGAUACUGGCGCUCUUGAGUGCGCUUGAAGUGGGCGGAAUGUGCCGUGUAGCGGUGAAAUGCUUAGAUAUGGCACAGAACACCAAUUGCGAAGGCAGCUCACUAAGGCGAUACUGACGCUGAGGCACGAAAGCGUGGGGAUCGAACAGGAUUAGAAACCCCAGUAGUCC